CGAAGAGUCCAGACAUCGAAAGAACGUAUUUCUUCAGCUUGUUUGGAUGAUUUAACGGAUUCUUACUUGUUUAAAAGUGUAAUAACAUGUUUUUGUGUUAAAUAUGCUCUGUUUGUUUGGAUAAUUCAACAGGAACCGUCAAGAGCGGACUUGAAUACCGGUAGAUGAUGUGCAAGAACAUAGUAUGGUUUUGCAUGCACUCAUACGUCAUCACAGUAUAAAGGAUUUUAAUCUAAAAAGACAACCCUGCACAUUUGCAGUUGUACAGAUUGCAGUUCAUCUCAUAUGCUGUUAGACUAAAUAAUGAAAGAUGUUCAAACCACUGUCAAAGAUUCCUUAGUCUGAACUCAAGGUGCUUUUAUUAAGGAGAUCAGUAUUUGUUUUCUGUGC